ACUCCUACGGGAGGCAGCAGUGGGGAAUAUUGGACAAUGGGCGCAAGCCUGAUCCAGCCAUGCCGCGUGUGUGAAGAAGGUCUUCGGAUUGUAAAGCACUUUAAGUUGGGAGGAAGGGCGCUUGGCUAAUACCCAAGGGUUUUGACGUUACCAACAGAAUAAGCACCGGCUAACUUCGUGCCAGCAGCCGCGGUAAU
rnacentral:rRNA from 1 species